GCCACCUCCUGGUUUCCAAGUGAUUCUCCUGCCUCAGCCUCCCCUGAAGCUGGGAUUACAGGUAGGACACAAGAUGGUGCCAUCUAUGAGGGACAGGCCCUCACCGGACACCAGAUCUGCUGGUGGCUUGAUCUUGGAUUUCCUGGCCUCCAAAAUUCUUCAGGGGCUGGAUCUGGAUAGGGACCAGACACCUCUAGCUACAAUGAUGGCACUGGCUCCUUCACCAGAUGAAACAAUACUUCAAGACAAGCCACUGGAGCAGGUCACGCCACCCGACAACUCCUAGUUCUGCUGCCUCUUCUGCACUCCAAACUCUCUCUUCAAAAACUCCUGGAUUCCCUUCACAAAUUGAAGAGUGGAAAUAUUUGCAAAUAAUUACACUCACUCCUCCCCUUGCUAGCAUGGAUAAUAAAACUCACUCUCUUUAUCACA